rnacentral:rRNA from 1 species
GUCUACGGACAUACCACCCUGAACGCGCCCGAUCUCGUCUGAUCUCAGAAGCUAAGCAGGGUCGGGCCUGGUUAGUACUUGGAUGGGAGAAUACAGAUGAGUCAGGCAUUGUCUAUC